CUCCUCCCCCUUCUUUCGCAACGCCGGGGCGCUCCUGUCGUUUGUGUGACUGUUGAUCCUUGCAAAGAGGACAGAUCAAAUAUUUCUCCUCCAGUGUAUGAGGCUUUCCGCUGGGGCCUCGCAGAUAUGAUGAUUGGGGCUGACGGACGGACGGGGGCCCCGGGUUUUGAAGUCUGACAGUCAGACAGUGGUGGCUUUGAUAGCCCCCGCUCCUCUCACACUGGAUCACUAAAGACACCAGGCGAAAAGAGGGGAGAAGAAGACGAGGACGAGGAGGAGGAGGGGUUAAGAGAGAGGGGGUGCUAAAAGAGAGUGGGGGGAACAAAAGCAUCUGUAGAGUGGUCAGGGCUGGCGGCGGCAGCAGCAGCAGCAGCAGCAGCCGUCAGAGGCUUUUUGAAGUUUACACACGGCCCUCCCCUCCAUUUCUUUUCCUCUUUUCCCCCCUUUAGACUCUUUCCUUCCCCCCAAAGCCUUCUGCUCCCCUUGUCCUUGAAUGCCUCUCUCUCUCUUGCUUCCUUCUGUCCUCUCUUUCUUACCCUUUGGUGAUACCCCGGGUCUGCACACUAGACGUUGCGACCCAAGCCACGCGGCAGCUCAGUUUGUCUAGCCUACUUCCAUCCCCUUGAGAGUCUCAAAGCCCAUGUCAUGAACCAUCAUCAACUUGGUUUAAAGUGUUCCUCUACAAGGAACAAGUACACGGGGCAAAGCAAGCCUCUGUCUAACGUUUGCAACUCUGGGGUUUGGAUAUUUCACUACGUGUAAACAUCAUAGAGCUUUCAUGAAAAGAUGGACUGAUGGAAUCAAAUACUGUUUUUGCUGUGGCCAAAAGUGACAAUUAUAUAAUAAUAAAUGCCUAAAUCUGAUGCUAUAUUGGCCCAAAAUCCUCUAGCACUUGUCAAUCAUGAAAGUGACCCUUCCACAACUUUGACCAAGUGGUUAUACUUUUAACCAUCAUGAUGAAGGUUACCUAACUUUCUUCUUUCACCCAAACCACAACCUUGCCCUCAAUAUUUUAUACCAAACCAUCAAAACCUUCUGUACCUAAACCAAACCAAACCAGAGUGAUGACAGAAAACCUUUUCAUAAAAUGCAUUGGCAACUGUUUUGUCUGACUAACUGCCAUGUGACAAUAUAUUAUGGGUCAUGUUUAAAGGUCACAUCGUACUGCCUGUUUUAUUGGCUAAAACAUUUGGAUAACAGCAGAAAAAAAAAGCAUUGAAGACGGUUCGAGACAGUCUGAAAACAGUUUAAUCUCGCAUAUCUGUGCGCUGUGUCAGCAAUGGAAAAAAGGUCUGGCUGUAGCCAUUAUCACUGUGGCGUAUAGGGGAAAAAGAAAAACGGUGGGGCUUGUUUGUAUUUCCUUAAACCAGUUCGAAACGUCUUGGGCUGUGCUAAUCCCAGAAAGCAAUGACGGCGGCCCCUGCGAAAUAGUGUCGGGGGGGUGUAUUGAUGGAAAAUAUGUACUUGGGGAGGCAAGCACCGGCGUUCAAAUGGCUAAUUCCCCACUAAAGAAAGGGUAACAGCUGCUAGCGUUUUCACGUUCAUAUUGUUCGGGUAACUUGCCAUUUACAGUGUGUACGUUGGUAGAAAAUGGUAAUGCAGAUAGUGGGAGGGGUGGAGAAUGCCUCGUGAAAUUCAUGGAUAAGUGAUGCAUAAGAUACACACAGCCAACAUCCGACGGGUCAGAUUAUGUCGACUGAACAGCGAUAUUUAAAGUUUUUUUGUUAACAUUAGCCACCAUACGCUACUGGCACGGUGUACCUGCAAAAGUGUAGAAACUGUGUAUUAGUGUGAGUGAGAAAAUGUGCAUUUUCAAAAAAAUAAUAAUUCAAAAGUCUGGCAUUAAAGCUACCUCAGGGAACAUAACAGGGGGAAACUGCAUUGUAAAACAGGGGACACAGUUGACUGGAGCCACCUCUGACUCGAAUAAAAAAAGUAAGUCAACUUUUCUCCCAUUUGUUCUCCACUCUCCGUACAUUACAGUGUACAGUGAUACCAGUUGACACCCGACAGAUGGCUUUUGUCAGGCCUGGAGAGCAAGAGUUAACCCAAUCCUCUGUUCACCCUCCCUCCAUCCCUCUCUUCUUUUUAAAUGUCUCCCAUAUAAACAGAUUUUGUUGCUGCUUAAAGUGGGCUCAAAAUUAAAGCGUAUCGUUUUACACACACAUUGCAUGCAUAUUACGGAGCCCCAGCUGGUGGCAGGCUGCUCUUAAGAGCCAUAUGAUUAAGUUAGAGGUUGGGGUAUCCGAUAAGAUUUGAGCUCUCUGCCUCCCUUCUCUAUCUCCCUGCCUAUUUUACUGCAAACUUAUUAAAUGGAGGAAACGACAUUAUUUUUUUUUUCCUGAGUGUAUGUGUAAUUAUUGUCACACACCUGUGACUCCCUGCUAUCCACGACAGGGAAGAAGAGAGGGGAAGGAGGGAUGAUGAGGAGGGGGAGGGGAGGGAGGUGGGAUGAGAAGAAAUGUCGUUGGGAGCAGCGGGAGUUCUCGUUUCAGAAAAAAAAAAGGGAGGAGGAUAAAGAGGAGAGGAAAAACAAGAGAGCUUGUUAAUCAUGCGCUUUCUGUCACUGGCUGAACACUGAUAUCCUAAUGAUUCACGCCGAGAUAGUGACAUCACAAGGGAGAGUAACGGAGAGAUGUAGAGAGAGAGAAAGAAAAUAAGGGGGGUGGGGGGGGAGAUGUCCCAAAAUGGACAGCUAGUUUUGCACAAGAUGACAGAAAACAUAAAAAAUUAAAAAUUAAAAAAAAAAAAAAAAGACAGAAACUGGGAAAUGUCCCUCUGAAUCUGUUGUUGCAUUCCUCACAAACAGGCACUUGUUUAAUUUGAACAGAAUGUUUCUCAAGGAACGCUGUUGUGAAAGUUUUCCAGCCAAGUUUCAAUCUGUAGUUUCUCUCUCUCUCUCUCUCUCUCUCUCUCUCUCUCUCUCUCUCCCUCUCCCUGUCUUCCUCGUUUUGCCGUUUACCUCGGCAGACCACCCCGUCGAAAGGCAACAACAUGUGAUAUGAUCCUCGGGAGACAAAGGAAAUUACCUAUUAAGUGGGAGAGAUGAUCUUCCUUUAGCCGCUCUCCAAAAAAAUAACAGAUGCACCCCCCCCGAAAACCACCACCAUCCUUGGCUGUGACCUGGAUGCACUAUUUAACAAAGGGAUUCUAAUUAUGACACUGUGAUACUGUGAUUUGGGAACUGUGACCAUCUGUGCACUUAAUUUGGACGGAGGUAGUUUGUACUGUGGACUUUGAGAUGAUGGGAGGUGCGGAAAGACUUGCCACAGUAGGGGCAAUCCUUGGAGGACGAGCCCACGCUCCGCUCGCGAUGCUGGGACAGAGAAGGCUGAAUGGUCCCCGCCGCCUUCCCCAAGUCCUCCCCAACAUCUGGAGCACACACAGAGACAGCACAAGGAGGGAGAGACAAAUGGAAGGGAGCACACCAGGGAUCUGAGAAGUCUCUGAGGUAUUAUAGCAACCAGGUCUAGACCAAGAAGAACAAGCAGAAGAGAGGAAGAGGAGGAGGAGGAGCAGGGGGGGAACUAGAAAAGAGCAACUGUGCUCCAAAUUUUACAGCAUCCUCACCUCAUACGUGCUGUUUUACUAUUGACCCCAUCGAGUGACAGACAUGAGACCAGAGAUGAAAUAAAUCGCGAGAACAACAACAACAAAAAAAAAAAAAAAUCAAGAAAAACAUAAAAAUAAAGGAAAAGCAAGUUGUUGUUUACCCGCGCAAUGCUUGUGAGAUGAAAACAGCAGCAGAAUGUGUUACAUAUAAGGCGGUGGGGUAAACAGGGGCACCAGAUGUUCUUUGAUGUUAAUAAUGGCAUUUAUUAUUAAUAUUAAUUAGAUCGCAUUCAGCAAUACAUUUGGGCCAUUUCCAAGUCAAUUAAGCAAAAUGGCAUUCGGGAGAUGUUGAAACGACAUUUUAAGGCAGGUGCUCGGCAGUCCCCUAUUAAAACAUUUUUGCAGCUCCUGAAAAACAACCCAUUUUCAGGCAGAUUUUAUUUAUUCUUCUUUGUUUACUCUUCCUCGGUAUUUCUCUGUCCUGUUGUGAACGUGAACAGUCGCGACCGUAUCUCCAAAAAAACAUAUUGAGGAUUGCUUCUAGAUUUAGCGCAGCAUUAUCUAAUUAAAAAAUAUACAGUACACUGUGAUUCAGAUAAUGCACAUGUGUCGUUCCCGGGCAAAUGUGUCAACCCAGACUUAGGGGUUGUUGGUUUAAUCCAGAUAUGAAAUCAUGAUUAUGACCAUCAUGAUGACAAUUAAAAAAAAUUAAAAAAUAAAUACUUUGAGGAUUACCAACCACUGUCCGUAUUACCGCCAAACGUGAGGUGAGUGUUCUCGGGAUGGACCCAAACAGAUUCACAUUCAGCGCCAAAGAGCCCAAUCCACAUGGUGGAGUGUGCCAACACACCGUUCUACCAGGACACAAGGUUCCUAGUGCCGUCGCUACCAGCAGAUACCAGUUCUACCAAAUCUAAUUAGACAACACAAGCCAGAGGCCUCACACCGGGGGGUGCCUUGUCUAUAUGAUCUAAAUAAUCCCUGGCUAUAUGUGUAAGGAUAAAAAACACACCCGCUCUAAAGCUCUAUUCAGUUUAAUCUAGACCUCUGAAUAGCGUUCUGCCACACCUCUCGGACCCAGUGUGUGUGUUUAUGUGUGUGUGUGUGUGUGUGUGUGUGUGUGCUCGUAGCCCUGCUUUUUGGCAGCAGGCCCUCUUUUUUUUUUUUUUUUUUCAAAGCUGGUGGAGGCAGCAGCCUUACAAUGGUACAUUAACAAUCUGUGCGUUCAUUUAUCAGUGUGUGUGAUUUGGACUCUCCGUUCAUGGCGCGCUGCACUUUUCAUGGCUGAAAAUUAAUGAACAAGCCUCCCCUCGCAACAAACAUGCACCUGUGCUGCAGAGAUGCUAAUCACAAACAUUUAUAUUUAUUAGUGAACGCCCGCACUAAAACUGGAGUUGUUGGAGGAGGGAGAGAGAGGGAGAAAAAAAAUAGAAGAAGAAGAAGAAGAGGAUGGGAGCGGAGGAGGAGAAAUAGUUCCCUUUUUUCAACCUGGGUAAUGAAAGGGUAGCCGUUUCCGUUGUGUAGAAUUGCGUUAAAGCUAUUUGUUUGAAGCACUUUCUUGAAUGAAGGGGGUGUGGGAGUGCAGGAUAUCUAUUCAGGGAGUGUGAUCUUCAUGCUGUGAAGAUUAUUUCUCCAAAACUAUCGGGUGAAGGGCAUCGCUGCGAGAGAAAAAAUAAAAUACAUUUCCAAAAACGCAGCAUCACAAUUUCAUUUCUAAAGGUUCCAAAGUCGACACAGGUGGGAGCGAUGGACAGUGUUGACCGAUGACUCUUCUGUUUGUCUCUUCUACUUCCCCCCCAUUCCUCUUCUUUCCACUUCUCUCACUCUCAUCUCCACCCCCCACUUCCCCCCCCAGACUGACAGAAGGUGGCUCUCUCCCUCAGUAAAGGCUAUGCCUCUGCCCAGCUAGGGGAAGAGGAAUGGUGCCAUAAGUUUCUCCCUGGCACCGGCCCACCUUUGUUUUCCCCCCUCCUCAAGUCUGUUUCAGGCUUCAAAGAGCAUUGGAAAAAGACAUACACACAUACACAAACACACACACGCACACACACUCAGACACACACACACACGCACAUACAAAUGUCUGAGGGAGCACUGAUGUCUCACUAACUUUAUCAUUCUAGCAGGGUGAUCAUAGCCCCGUUGAGAGGCUGUGGAUGAUGCUUGAGGGUGUAUGAGUGUGUGUGUGUGUGUGUGUGUGUGUGUGUGUGUGUGUGCGUUUAUGUGUGUGUUGUCCACCACUGUCUGCAUGUAUGCAUGAGAGCACAAAAGGCAGAUGGGGACAGAGGUGGGUGUCUUUUAGGACAUGAAGACAAGAGCAAUUACUAAUGUGUUUGUCUGUGCGUUUGUACACACACACACACACACACACACACACACACACACACUUGCCAACGUGUGUGAGUGUGCCUGUGUGUUUGUGUGUAGUGCUAUAAUAAUCAGGGUGUAUAUUCAUCAUGCCCCCUCUCAGUCUGUGUUGGCAGGAAGUGGUGUGGUUACCAUUAGUGAAGGAUGACUAGGUCGCUGUCUCUUUUACUGGGAUACUGCUGGCUUUCUAUGGAUGGAGAGAUGCAAGAAAGGAAAGGAUUUCAAAUAAGAAAAGUGGCAAGGUGAAGAGAGAGGGGGAAAAAAGAAAUGAAGGACGGGGGAAAAGUGGAAAGAAGAUGACUUGAGGGGUCUUAGGAAAGGAAGAAAAAGGGAUGAAACAAAAGGAAAUAGAAGAGAAAGAAGAGUGAGACGAAGAGGGAAUAGCAUGAUAGGACAGGGACAUGACAGGAGGACUGGGAAAGAAAGGAAAGAUAGAGAGGAGAACAGGUUUUAGACAAAUGAGAGAAAUGGGAAAGGGUGUAGGAUAAGGAAGGAACGAAGGCCAAAAUUAAAGGAGAGGACAAGGAAAGAGAAGAAAGUAACCUUGUGAAGUGAGAAGAUGAGAACAGAGCAGGUCACAAUGUCAAAUCUUCUCCGGCUUCUGUCUGUACAUGCUGUCACUUAAAGAUGACAGCCACCCUGUUGCACUGCCCCUUUAACACUAAAUAAAGUAGGACUCCUCCCUAAAGCCACCAUUGAUUUCCUAUUCAUUCCCGUGCAUGCUAAAUCAACAGCAGGCACAAUAGGCCAAUCAUCAAACUCCGUACUCAGUACCGCCACUUCUAUCCCACCCUCAAUCCACCUGGCACUGGUCGGAGUCUAUACUGUACGUGGCAUCAAUGCUCUGCACACCGCAGCCAUUAGUGGCGUUAUUCUUCAUCAAUGAAAAUGAAUCAAUUAAGCCUCAUUAAGGGUGCAUAUUAAGGUGGAGUAAUUAUCGGGUGGGGAAUGUACAAUGAUCAAUAGCUCGGGAGCAUAAAUGUGCACUUAAAGACAUAUAUUACCACAAGGGGCGAUGAGCACUUUUAACAAGGCCACCGUGGAGAGGAGCUAAAGUGGGUAAAUCUGCCUCACGUCAUGCAUGCAUACUGUGUGUGUGUGUGUGUGUGUGUGUGUGUGUGUGUGUGUGCGCGUGUGUGUGUGUGUGUGUGUGUGUAUGAGAGAGAGACUAUCGCUCCCACCAUAGCCUGGUCAGGCAGUAAAUCCAGAGACCAAGGACGUGUCCCGUUUUCCUCUUCUAUGAACUUGUCCAGUGUCUCGGAAAAUGAAAUAAAAAGAUUUAUACUGUGGCUGCAAACAUCCUGCUGCUGUGUGUGCGUGCGUGUGUGUGUGUGUGUCUGUGUGUGUGUGUGUUUGUGUACGGACACGAGACAAUGACCACAAGAGAUAGAGCCACACUUUAAGAAUAAAUGAGAGAAAGGCCCCCGAUUUUAGCGAGGGGGAAGGGGAGGGGGAGUUUUUAAAUGCUAGAGGCCUUCACCCUCUGGCCAAUGCAAACACACACACACACACACACACACACACACACACACACACAUUUACAUGCACAAAGUAGCACAUGCACAGACACACACACACACACACACACAAUCCCAUGCAUAACGCCUAUUAAAGAGCACGCUCUGUCCCAGUCGCAUAAUUUUAAUUUGUUAUGAAGGUCAUUGACAGCAAGUAAUAAUCACCAUUGGGGAUCUAACAAUUUGCCAUUUCAGAACAUUGAGGCACUGAUGACUCAACUAUUAAUAGACUGAAGCCCCCCACCCUACCCUCAAACCCCCCCAUGCCUCUACACCCCCUGUCCUCUUAAAUGACUAAAAACUAUUCCAGUAUUUUUUUUUUUUUUUUUUACACUCAUACCCCACAUGCACUGCCUAAAAAAAGCCCAUAUGUCUUUAUCCCAUUUAUCUUUUUUUCUUUUUUUUUUUUUAUCUGUGGAGGGAUAUAUGAAAUUUGGAGGCAAAUUAAUGGGAAGCCUGAAAGAAACCCGCCGAGGGGGUAUCUCCUGGAGAGAGAAUUACAUUGUAAAAAAGUAAAGCAGACAGCUUUUUAAUUCUUCCUUUUUCUUCCCGACUUUAUGCUUUUACAGCGACGCCUCAGCGCCGAGCAAACGCCACGGCUGCCUGUGCUGAGCGGACGAAAUUGUUGAACAAUUUUCCUCCCCUUUUUUUUUUUUUUUUUUUUUUUU